GUGGGGAAUAUUGGACAAUGGGCGCAAGCCUGAUCCAGCCAUGCCGCGUGAGUGAUGAAGGCCUUAGGGUUGUAAAGCUCUUUUGUCCGGGAAGAUAAUGACUGUACCGGAAGAAUAAGCCCCGGCUAACUUCGUGCCAGCAGCCGCGGUAAUACGAAGGGGGCUAGCGUUGUUCGGAAUCACUGGGCGUAAAGCGCACGUAGGCGGACCAUUAAGUCAGGGGUGAAAGCCUGGCGCUCAACUCCAGAACUGCCUUUGAUACUGGUGGUCUCGAGUAUGGAAGAGGUGGGUGGAACUGCGAGUGUAGGGGUGAAAUUCGUAGAUGUUCGCAAGAACACCGGUGGCGAAGGCGGCCAACUGGUCCAUUACUGACGCUGAGGUGCGAAAGGGUGGGGAGCAAACAGGAUUAGAAACCCUAGUAGUCC
rnacentral:rRNA from 1 species